GUCACCAAGGCAAGAGCUACAAGGAGAAACAUCGGCUGCUCUGCUGAAAAUGAGCACUCUUAGCAGUGCAGAAACAGGGGCAUCACUUAGUUAGGUGGGAUCUCUGUACUUGAUGUCUACAUGCCAAAACAAGAUGACCUGAACAUUACUUUGUCUGUGC